rnacentral:rRNA from 1 species
CCCUUAGAUGUUCUGGGCUGCACGCGCGCUACACUGAUGCGCUCAACGAGUUUUAACCUUGCCUGGAAAGGUUGGGUAAUCUUUUUAAAACGCAUCGUGAUGGGGAUAGAUUAUUGCAAUUAUUAAUCUUCAACGAGGAAUUCCUAGUAAGCGCGAGUCAUCAGCUCGUGCUGAUUACGUCCCUGCCCUUUGUACACACCGCCCGUCGCUCCUACCGAUCGAAGAGUUAGGUGAAUUGUUUUGAUCGAUAAGAUUUGACUAUGGUCAACUCUCGUUGUGAAAUUCUGUGAAUCUGACUGUUUAGAGGAAGGAAAAGUCGUAACA